rnacentral:tRNA from 1 species
GGCCGAGUAGCUCAGUUGGUUAGAGCAGCGGAAUCAUAAUCCGCGUGUCGGGGGUUCGAGUCCCUCCUCGGCUACCA